rnacentral:lncRNA from 14 species
GUUUUCAUUGAUAACAACAAUCAUUAAACUUCUAAAUAACUUUGGGAAUCUGUGCUUCCAGUCAAUGACAGAAAUAUGCUUCCAUUGUUUGGAAAUAUCCAGCCCAAAUUAAAAGCAAUAUGUCAAGCCAUGAAAGUCAUGAGGUCUUCUACGAGUUCUGCUGAAAAGAAAAUCAAAAGGUUAGCACUGUUUUGUUGUGGGUGUACUGCAAGUCAUAGAUAAGUAUCGAAAGCCUGCUCAGGUAAGUCAAAUUACUAUAAAGGGAGCACUGACAUGCAUUUUGCCUUUAUCAGACCAACCUUCUGAAAAUGAAAUCCAUUAACACAGGAAUAUAUAUAUAUAUAUAUGUUUAAAUAACUUAUUCUAACAUGUUGAGGUUCUCAAGAUUGUUCAUUCUUCAUGACAUGUACAAGACAUUGUUCAACAUGUGAUGUGAACUUUAAGGUUUUUUUAAUUAUUCCACUUCCUUUCUCAUCCUAUAAUUCUGAGUAGUAUCCCUGUUUCUCCAGAUCAGUUCUGAGGUGUGCCUCAUAAUUUCUGCAGCUAUAUGCCCCCAGCUGCCCAGACGUGCUCUAAAAGAAUCACUUGAGGAAGCCUAGCUGCACACAGUCCAUAUAUUGUUAUCACAUGACUACAGUGUUCACAGUGUCAGGGGAACUCAGUUACCUCAGAUGCAGGAGGUAGCUUAUGUGAAAAGAGAGACAGAAGAUUAAAAGGCAACCUCUUUUUUCAGUGAAGAGCAGAAAAGAUUUUCAUUUCUAUGCCUGAGUUUCCAGUCAUUGUCAACAACACUGGGGUACUAUAUGUUUUGACUUAAUUUUUCAAUUAGUAACUUUCUAUUUUUGAAGGUUUAGUUCAUUAUUACAAAACAAUUUCUCUAACUAUUUUGAAUCACAUUAUUUACUGGCAUAUAAUCAACCAUGGAUAUAAAAAUUAACCUUCUGAGCCAGCAAUUACUGACUAAAAUGCAAUCUUCACAAUAAUUACAGCCACCAAAAUGGAAACAGCAUUCUGUGUGAUAAACACAUAAAUGUAUUGGCUUUCGCAAAUCAUAGAUGUGAUUAUGUGGAUAUAACUAUACAAGUUUAUAGUAACAAAACCAAAGCUCAAUAAAGACAUAAGAUGAGCAAACCGGAGUCA